CAGUCGCGCGGGAAUACAGAGGGUGCGAGCGUUAAUCGGAUUUACUGGGCGUAAAGCGUGCGUAGGCGGCUUCUUAAGUCGGAUGUGAAAUCCCUGAGCUUAACUUAGGAAUUGCAUUCGAUACUGGGAAGCUAGAGUAUGGGAGAGGAUGGUAGAAUUCCAGGUGUAGCGGUGAAAUGCGUAGAGAUCUGGAGGAAUACCGAUGGCGAAGGCAGCCAUCUGGCCUAAUACUGACGCUGAGGUACGAAAGCAUGGGGAGCAAACAGGAUUAGAGACCCCGGUAGUCCCUGUCUCUUAUACA
rnacentral:rRNA from 1 species